rnacentral:rRNA from 1 species
GACGAACGCUGGCGGCGUGCUUAACACAUGCAAGUCGAACGGAAAGGCCCUGCUUUUGUGGGGUGCUCGAGUGGCGAACGGGUGAGUAACACGUGAGUAACCUGCCCUUGACUUUGGGAUAACUUCAGGAAACUGGGGCUAAUACCGGAUAGGAGCUCCUGCUGCAUGGUGGGGGUUGGAAAGUUUCGGCGGUUGGGGAUGGACGCGCGGCUUAUCAGCUUGUUGGUGGGGUAGUGGCUUACCAAGGCUUUGACGGGUAGCCGGCCUGGGAGGGUGACCGGCCACAUGGGGCCUGAGAUACGGCCCAGACUCCUACGGGAGGCAGCAGUGGGGAAUAUUGCACAAUGGGCGGAAGCCGGAUGCAGCAACGCCGCGUGCGGGAUGACGGCCUUCGGGUUGUAAACCGCUUUCGCCUGUGACGAAGCGUGAGUGACGGUAAUGGGUAAAGAAGCACCGGCUAACUACGUG